rnacentral:rRNA from 1 species
GAUGAACGCUAGCUACAGGCUUAACACAUGCGAGUCGAGGGGCAGCAUGGUCUUAGCUUGCUAAGGCCGAUGGCGACCGGCGCACGGGUGAGUAACACGUAUCCAACCUGCCGUCUACUCUUGGACAGCCUUCUGAAAGGAAGAUUAAUACAAGAUGGCAUCAUGAGUCCGCAUGUUCACAUGAUUAAAGGUAUUCCGGUAGACGAUGGGGAUGCGUUCCAUUAGAUAGUAGGCGGGGUAACGGCCCACCUAGUCUUCGAUGGAUAGGGGUUCUGAGAGGAAGGUCCCCCACAUUGGAACUGAGACACGGUCCAAACUCCUACGGGAGGCAGCAGUGAGGAAUAUUGGUCAAUGGGCGAGAGCCUGAACCAGCCAAGUAGCGUGAAGGACGACUGCCCUAUGGGUUGUAAACUUCUUUUAUAAAGGAAUAAAGUCGGGUAUGGAUACCCGUUUGCAUGUACUUUAUGAAUAAGGAUCGGCUAACUCCGUG